GAUCCUGGCUCAGGAUGAACGCUGGCAGCGUGCUUAACACAUGCAAGUCGAGCGAAGCACUUAGGAAAGAUUCUUCGGAUGACUUCCUAUUUGACUGAGCGGCGGACGGGUGAAGGUAACGCGUGGGUAACCUGCCUCAUACAGGGGGAUAACAGUUAGAAAUGACUGCUAAUACCGCAUAAGACCACAGCACCGCAUGGUGCAGGGGUAAAAACUCCGGUGGUAUGAGAUGGACCCGCG
rnacentral:rRNA from 1 species